rnacentral:RNase_P_RNA from 1 species
GGGUAAGAACUUAGCUGACGGUGAAUUGAUGCUUCUGUAUUGAUUUGCUGAGGAAAGUCCGCCCACCAUUACUUAAUAUAAUUAAGUAAUAUGGCCAGUGGUGAAAGACCUCAUUCAGUAAUGGAUGGCAACCAUACAGAAACGAAACCACGUUUAAAAUGGGAUGAUGCGGUGAAACUCCUGGUAACAGGGGCGAGUUAACCUGUUGACGUCUUUAAACGAAAGGAUGAAACGAUGAGACCUGGUCGGUGCAAGUUUUAAACGCUUAGUUAAAUGCUAAGAAGGAGCAUCGUUGUAAUAUUACAACACAAAGGUUCCUACAGAAGGUGGCUUACUCUUACCC